CUCUAGCGCCGAUGGUAGUUGGGACUUUGUCCCUGUGAGAGUAGGACGUUGCCAGGC
rnacentral:rRNA from 2 species